GAUGAACGCUGGCGGCGUGCCUAAUACAUGCAAGUCGAGCGAACAGACGAGGAGCUUGCUCCUCUGACGUUAGCGGCGGACGGGUGAGUAACACGUGGAUAACCUACCUAUAAGACUGGGAUAACUUCGGGAAACCGGAGCUAAUACCGGAUAAUAUAUUGAACCGCAUGGUUCAAUAGUGAAAGACGGUUUUGCUGUCACUUAUAGAUGGAUCCGCGCUGCAUUAGCUAGUUGGUAAGGUAACGGCUUACCAAGGCGACGAUGCGUAGCCGACCUGAGAGAGUGAUCGGCCACACUGGAACUGAGACACGGUCCAGACUCCUACGGGAGGCAGCAGUAGGGAAUCUUCCGCAAUGGGCGAAAGCUUGACGGAGCAACGCCGCGUGAGUGAUGAAGGUCUUCGGAUCGUAAAACUCUGUUAUUAGGGAAGAACAAAUGUGUAAGUAACUAUGCACGUCUUGACGGUACCUAAUCAGAAAGCCACGGCUAACUACGUG
rnacentral:rRNA from 1 species